rnacentral:tRNA from 1 species
UUGGAAAGCUCCGAUAAAAAGUCCUCUCUCUAGGAUCAGGAGAGGCACAGCCAAGGAACCAUCUCCCGUGACUUUGGUCAUGGAAGCGCCGUCAACAUAUCCCGUCCAGCAACAAUCGUCGGACCCUUUUGGGCUAGUAGCUCAGUUGGUUAGAGCACACGCUUGAUAAGCGUGGGGUCGGAGGUUCAAGUCCUCCCUGGCCCACCAUCGGGAUCACCAUCGGGGGCGUAGCUCAGCUGGGAGAGCACCUGCUUUGCAAGCAGGGGGUCGUCGGUUCGAUCCCGUCCGCCUCCACCAGGUGGCCCAAUAUUGCGUUUGGGUUGCCUGAUGCCGGCAGGCGGUGGGAAGGACGAAAGACGGUUGUUGGUUGGGAAAAGAGAUCGGACGGACGUCCGGCAGUCGCGAUGCGGCGCCGGGUGUUUCUGUCUGGUGAGUUUGUUCUUUGUCAGUGUGAAUAGGUUGGUGCGUUUGUGUGCGUGCCGUGUCGCGGGUUGGUCUGACCCAUGCGAUGGUCCGGGGAACCGGGGUAUUGCGUGCUGUGCGAUGUGGCGGAAGCGUACAUGGACGACGUAAAGAGAAGAGUGGUCGUGACAUGAACUGCACUUUCUUGUGUGCGGGCGGUGUCCACCCUUGGGUGGAUGG